rnacentral:lncRNA from 1 species
GCAUUUGGAUAUAAUAUAUUCUAAUAAUUAUUAUGGUUAAAAGUCUAAGUGGGAGAUUGUUGAGAUACAUACUAUUAACCAUGGGUUUAGUUUAGAUAUAGUAUUUAUUAUAAAAUAAUUGUUUAUUCAGUUUUAAUAAAGUUCUAAAUAGAUCAUAUAAUAGUCUGUGUUCUUUGCUUAUAUAGUAGAUGAUUUAGUGUAUGGAGUUUAGCUUAUACACGGAAGAUUAAAUCAU